AUGCACGUGAUGUGGCACAAGACCGGCAAUACCUUGCCGGUGAUGGUCAGGCCGGCAAGACGGGUAGCAAAAAAGGUUCUGGUGCUGCACACCAACAAGAACUUCGACCAGCAGUGGACCAACUGGGUGAUGCACCAGUACCACCUCGGGGACCUGGAGCAAGAGAAGGAGCGGGAGCUGGUCCUCUACAAGAUUUUCUACCAGACGAACACUAGGGCCCGGAGUCGAGCAAGUUUCAACUGGGCUGUAGACUGCCCAGGGUUGGUUUUGUUUUUAACAGGCCCAGCCCAUAACGACAACGGGGCACAAAGAUCUAGCAGUGAUCUACUGUCCUCUGGCUAG
rnacentral:rRNA from 1 species